AGCCUGAUGCAGCANCGCCGCGUGCGGGAAGAAGGCCCUAGGGUUGUAAACCGCUUUCAGCAGGGAAGAAAAUGACGGUACCUGCAGAAGAAGGUGCGGCCAACUACGUGCCAGCAGCCGCGGUGACACGUAGGCACCAAGCGUUGUCCGGAUUUAUUGGGCGUAAAGAGCUCGUAGGCGGUUCAGUAAGUCGGGUGUGAAAACUCUGGGCUCAACCCAGAGACGCCACCCGAUACUGCUGUGACUUGAGUGCGGUAGGGGAGCGGGGAAUUCCUAGUGUAGCGGUGAAAUGCGCAGAUAUUAGGAGGAACACCAGUGGCGAAGGCGCCGCUCUGGGCCGUAACUGACGCUGAGGAGCGAAAGCGUGGGUAGCAAACAGGAUUAGAUACCCUGGUAGUCCACGCCGUAAACGUUGGGCACUAGGUGUGGGUCUCAACCAACGAGAUCCGCGCCGUCGCUAACGCAUUAAGUGCCCCGCCUGGGGAGUACGGA
rnacentral:rRNA from 1 species